UACGUAGGCAGCAAGCGUUGUUCGGAGUUACUGGGCGUAAAGGGUGCGUAGGCGGCUUUUUAAGUUUGGUGUGAAAUCUCCCGGCUCAACCGGGAGGGUGCGCCGAAUACUGAGGAACUAGAGUACGGGAGAGGAAAGUGGAAUCCUGGUGUAGCGGUGAAAUGCGUAGAUAUCAGGAGGAACACCGGUGGUGUGAGACGGCUUUCUGGACCGUAACUGACGCUGAGACACGAAAGCGUGGGUAGCAAACAGG
rnacentral:rRNA from 1 species